rnacentral:rRNA from 1 species
GGCGACCGGCGCACGGGUGAGUAACACGUAUCCAACCUGCCGAUAACUCGGGGAUAACCCUUCGAAAGAAGGCCUAAUACCCGAUGGCAUAUCCCUUCCGCCUGGUUGGGAUAUUAAAGAACUUCGGUUAUCGAUGGGGAUGCGUUCCAUUAGCUUGUUGGCGGGGUAACGGCCCACCAAGGCUUCGAUGGAUAGGGGUUCUGAGAGGAAGGUCCCCCACAUUGGAACUGAGACACGGUCCAAACUCCUACGGGAGGCAGCAGUGAGGAAUAUUGGUCAAUGGACGAGAGUCUGAACCCAGCCAAGUAGCGUGAAGGAAUGAAGGUCCUAUGGAUUGUAAACNUUCUUUUAAUACGGGAAAUAAAGUGCAGUAUGCAUACUGUUUUUGUAUGUACCGUAUGAAUAAAGGAUCGGCUAACUCCGUGCCAGCAGCCGCGGUAAUACGGAGGAUCCGAGCGUUAUCCGGAUUUUAUUGGGUUUAAAGGGAGCGUAGGCGGANGGCUUAAGUCAGUUGUGAAAGUUUGCGGCUCAACCGUAAAAUUGCAGUUGAUACUGGGCCUCUUGAGUACAGUAGAGGCAGGCGGAAUUCGUGGUGUAGCGGUGAAAUGCUUAGAUAUCACGAAGAACUCCGAUUGCGAAGGCAGCCUGCUGGACUGUCACUGACGCUGAUGCUCGAAAGUGUGGGUAUCAAACAGGAUUAGAUACCCUGGUAGUCCACACAGUAAACGAUGAAUACUCGCUGUUGGCGAUACACGGUCAGCGGCCAAGCGAAAGCGUUAAGUAUUCCACCCUGGGGAGUACGCCGGCAACGGUGAAACUCAAAGGAAUUGACGGGGGCCCGCACAAGCGGAGGAACAUGUGGUUUAAUUCGAUGAUACGCGAGGAACCUUACCCGGGCUUGAAUUGCAUAUGAGUUAUCCGGAGACGGAUAAGCCGCAAGGCAUAUGUGAAGGUGCUGCAUGGUUGUCGUCAGCUCGUGCCGUGAGGUGUCGGCUUAAGUGCCAUAACGAGCGCAACCCUUAUCGAUAGUUACCAUCAGGUUAUGCUGGGGACUCUGUCGAGACUGCCGUCGUAAGAUGCGAGGAAGGUGGGGAUGACGUCAAAUCAGCACGGCCCUUACGUCCGGGGCCACACACGUGUUACAAUGGGGGGUACAGAAGGCCGCUACACAGCGAUGUGAUGCCAAUCCCCAAAACCCCUCUCAGUUCGGAUUGGAGUCUGCAACCCGACUCCAUGAAGCUGGAUUCGCUAGUAAUCGCGCAUCAGCCACGGCGCGGUGAAUACGUUCCCGGGCCUUGUACACACCGCCCGUCAAGCCAUGAAAGCCGGGGGUACCUGAAGUGCGUAACCGCGAGGAG